GCGAACGGGUGAGUAAUACAUAUUUAACCUACCCUUAAGACGAGGAUAGCCAUUGGAAACGAUGGAUAAAACUGGAUAGGAUAUAGAGGAAGAAUCUUUUAUAUUUAAAAGAGAGAUCUGCUUAAGGAGGGGCCUGUGGCGCAUUAGCUAGUUGGUGGGGUAAGGGCCUACCAAGGCGAUGAUGCGUAGCCGGACUGAGAGGUUGAACGGCCACAAUGGAACUGAAAACGGUCCAUACUCCUACGGGAGGCAGCAGUAGGGAAUUUUCGGCAAUGGGGGGAACCCUGACCGAGCAACGCCGCGUGAACGAAGAAGUUAUUCGUAAUGUAAAGUUCUUUUAUCAGGGAAGAAAGAGGAAUUUGACGGUACCUGAGGAAUAAGCUCCGGCUAACUACGUGCCAGCAGCCGCGGUAAUACGUAGGGAGCGAGCGUUAUCCGGAAUUAUUGGGCGUAAAGGGUGCGUAGAUGGCAUAGCAAGUCUUUUGUAAAAAUGCUGGGCUCAACCCAGUAGGGCAAAAGAUACUGCAAAGCUAGAGUAUGACAGAGGCAAGUGGAACUACAUGUGUAGCGGUAAAAUGCGUAAAUAUAUGUAAGAA
rnacentral:rRNA from 1 species